CAGCAGCCGCGGUAAUACGUAGGUCCCGAGCGUUGUCCGGAUUUAUUGGGCGUAAAGGGAGCGCAGGCGGUUUAGUAAGUCUGAAGUUAAAGGCAUUGGCUCAACCAAUGUAUGCUUUGGAAACUGUUAGACUUGAGUGCAGAAGGGGAGAGUGGAAUUCCAUGUGUAGCGGUGAAAUGCGUAGAUAUAUGGAGGAACACCGGUGGCGAAAGCGGCUCUCUGGUCUGUCACUGACGCUGAGGCUCGGAAGCGUGGGUAGCGAACAGGAUUAGAUACCCGAGUAGUCCCUGUCUCUUAUACA
rnacentral:rRNA from 1 species